rnacentral:rRNA from 1 species
AGUUAGCCGUGGCUUUCUGGUUAGAUACCGUCAAGGGAUGAACAGUUACUCUCAUCCUUAUUCUUCUCUAACAACAGAGUUUUACGAUCCGAAAACCUUCUUCACUCACGCGGCGUUGCUCGGUCAGACUUUCGUCCAUUGCCGAAGAUUCCCUACUGCUGCCUCCCGUAGGAGUUUGGGCCGUGUCUCAGUCCCAAUGUGGCCGAUCACCCUCUCAGGUCGGCUAUGCAUCGUGGCCUUGGUGAGCCGUUACCUCACCAACUAGCUAAUGCACCGCGGGUCCAUCCAUCAGCGACACCCGAAAGCGCCUUUCAAAUCAAAACCAUGCGGUUUCGAUUGUUAUACGGUAUUAGCACCUGUUUCCAAGUGUUAUCCCCUUCUGAUGGGCAGGUUACCCACGUGUUACUCACCCGUUCGCCACUCCUCUUUUUCCGGUGGAGCAAGCUCCGGUGGAAAAAGAAGCGUACGACUUGCAUGUAUUAGGCACGCCGCCAGCGUUCGUCCUGAGCCA